rnacentral:rRNA from 1 species
UACGUAGGGUGCGAGCGUUGUCCGGAAUUACUGGGCGUAAAGAGCUCGUAGGCGGUUUGUCGCGUCGUCCGUGAAAACUUGGGGCUCAACCCCAAGCUUGCGGGCGAUACGGGCAGACUUGAGUACUGCAGGGGAGGACUGGAAUUCCUGGUGUAGCGGUGAAAUGCGCAGAUAUCAGGAGGAACACCGGUGGCGAAGGCGGGUCUCUGGGCAGUAACUGACGCUGAGGAGCGAAAGCGUGGGUAGCAAACAGG